GCUCAGGACGAACGCUGGCGGCGUGCCUAAUACAUGCAAGUGGGACGCACUGAUUUCACGGGAGCUUGCUCCACGAGGUCAGUGAGUCGCGAACGGGUGAGUAACGCGUAGGUAACCUGCCUACUAGCGGGGGAUAACUAUUGGAAACGAUAGCUAAUACCGCAUGCUAGCUUUUAGCGCAUGCUAGGAGCUUAAAAGAUGCAACUGCAUCACUAGUAGAUGGACCUGCGUUGUAUUAGCUAGUUGGUAAGGUAAGAGCUUACCAAGGCGACGAUACAUAGCCGACCUGAGAGGGUGAACGGCCACACUGGGACUGAGACACGGCCCAGACUCCUACGGGAGGCAGCAGUAGGGAAUCUUCGGCAAUGGACGAAAGUCUGACCGAGCAACGCCGCGUGAGUGAAGAAGGUUUUCGGAUCGUAAAGCUCUGUUGUAAGCGAAGAACGGGUGUAAGAGUGGAAAGCUUAGACUGUGACGGUAGCUUACCAGAAAGGGACGGCUAACUACGUGCCAGCAGCCGCGGUAAUACGUAGGUCCCGAGCGUUGUCCGGAUUUAUUGGGCGUAAAGGGAGCGCAGGCGGUUAGGAAAGUCUGGAGUAAAAGGCUAUGGCUCAACCAUAGUGUGCUCUGGAAACUGUCUGACUUGAGUGCAGAAGGGGAGAGUGGAAUUCCAUGUGUAGCGGUGAAAUGCGUAGAUAUAUGGAGGAACACCAGUGGCGAAAGCGGCUCUCUGGUCUGUCACUGACGCUGAGGCUCGAAAGCGUGGGUAGCGAACAGGAUUAGAUACCCUGGUAGUCCACGCCGUAAACGCUGAGUGCUAGGUGUUAGGCCCUUUCCGGGGCUUAGUGCCGGAGCUAACGCAAUAAGCACUCCGCCUGGGGAGUACGACCGCAAGGUUGAAACUCAAAGGAAUUGACGGGGGCCCGCACAAGCGGUGGAGCAUGUGGUUUAAUUCGAAGCAACGCGAAGAACCUUACCAGGUCUUGACAUCCCGAUGUUAUUCUUAGAGAUAAGAAGUUACUUCGGUACAUCGGAGACAGGUGGUGCAUGGUUGUCGUCAGCUCGUGUCGUGAGAUGUUGGGUUAAGUCCCGCAACGAGCGCAACCCUUAUUGUUAGUUGCCAUCAUUAAGUUGGGCACUCUAGCGAGACUGCCGGUAAUAAACCGGAGGAAGGUGGGGAUGACGUCAAAUCAUCAUGCCCCUUAUGACCUGGGCUACACACGUGCUACAAUGGUCGGUACAACGAGUUGCGAGCCGGUGACGGCAAGCUAAUCUCUGAAAGCCGAUCUCAGUUCGGAUUGGAGGCUGCAACUCGCCUCCAUGAAGUCGGAAUCGCUAGUAAUCGCGGAUCAGCACGCCGCGGUGAAUACGUUCCCGGGCCUUGUACACACCGCCCGUCACACCACGAGAGUUUGUAACACCCGAAGUCGGUGAGGUAACCGUUAAGGGGCCAGCCGCCUAAGGUGGGAUGGAUGAUUGGGGUGAAGUCGUA
rnacentral:rRNA from 1 species